GUGGAUAGGAGACAAUAAAUGGGAUCAAGGGAAGUUGGUCGGGCUCCAGCGGCACAUGCUUACCACUGCUGACUGUUGCCGGGAAAGGUAUGUUGGUUUGAUUCUUUCAAGAUCCCAAACUAAAACAAGUCACCUGUGACAUUUGAAUGAUGCAAAGGUUUGUUGUCUCUUCCCAAGAAAUUGUGUGCAGAGAAGCUGCCUUGAUUUUACAUGCUGAACCUAUUUUUGCAUAAUCAAACACUGACGAUAAGAGAGAUGAAUGUGCAGUAUGCUAAAUUUGGGUAUCCAAUUGCAAAAGAAUUGGAUUAUUAUUUACAUUAGAAGCCAGGUUAUCACUAUGUAUUUUAAAUUGAUCGCUCAUGGACCGCUCAAUUGGCCAUAAACACAACAUAAUUCGAUCCCUCCCUUCAAAUUGGCAACUAAAGGGAAGGUGAGUUAAAAUGUCUCAGCCCCUGUGACCUGGCUGGUUAUGUUUAUAUUACAUCCAAUAUUAUGUGUACUCAUUUGAUCUAAGGUUAUUUUUAAUAACUUGUUUUUUUGUCACGAACAAAUCGAUGAACCGGCAGUCCAACCGGUGACAGACGCAACGGUUCAGUUGCCCGUUCGGUUUUAAAAAAUAUAGUCCGAUGGCCAUGGUGGAAGAACA
rnacentral:rRNA from 1 species